rnacentral:lncRNA from 1 species
AUGAUGUUCAGCUGGCACAAGACAUUCACCGUUGGAGCUCUGUGGAGAAGAGGCAAGAAGAGCCCUCCCUCUGAGGACAAAGUCGUGCUGACUCACAUGAAGAUGCUAAGCUAUGCAGGGAGUCAGGAUCUGGAGCCUCCUGCAGCUUCAGAUUGUGCAGAAGAAUCCAGGCUUCCCCAAGUCAACAUCCAGGGAAACCUUGAUGUAACAGACACUCCAGCAAAUUCAGAUUACACAGCUACCCUGUCUGAUCUCAGCACCUUGGAGACCCAGUGCCGGCUUCACAGAUUCUCCAAAUUUGAAUCUGAGGACUCUGGGGUUGAGUUGCCAAGUGGGGCUAAUUCUCCAUCCACACCAAAGGGCUCUGAGAAGAGUUUUGUGCUUCACAGUAGAGACUCUUCUUGUGACUCUGGAGUGCUCAGUGCCUCUUCCUCUCCAGAAAUUGACCACAUUAUAAUGAGAGCAUGUCAAGACCCUGGAGAAGCUAAUCCCAACAGGAAUGCUCCAGAGAGCAAAAAUCAAGUGGAGCAGUACAGCCAGGUGAUAGACUCUAUGCAGAUUCCUGCAUCUUCCUUGGAAGAUUUCAGCAAUUGUCAGAAGGGAGAAAGUCCUGAUCAACUUUUUGGCCAAAGCAAAGGGCAGUCUUUAGAAGAGGAACCCAGCAAAGAGACAGACCUCCCCAUUCAUGAUACUCCUCCAACUGUGCCUCCCAUGGAAGAGCAAAAGACUACCACUAGCCAUUACAAAGAGACCUUUGGCAGCAUGCAGGAUCUUCAAAUUCAUGGAAAUCAACUUAAGAAAUAUCCCACGAGUGACAGUCUGGACGAGUACAUGGAUGAGUGCUGUCGAUUAAGUGAGACCCAUGUGCAUUAA